AAGUGUCCCCAAAAAUGUCCCCAGGGCCUCCUGACCCCCCCCCCCCCCCCCCCGCCCGCCGCCCCCGCUGCCCCCGGCCCGACCCGGCGCCCCCGGGUGACCCCCAUUUGACCCCUGACCCCCCCAGACCCCCUCUCCCAGCGGCUGUUCUGGGCGGACGGGCGCCUCCAGGCCGUGUCCAGCGUGGGGCUGGACGGCCGCGGCCGCCGGACGCUGCUCAGGGACCCCCGGCACCUGCAGCAGCCCCUGGGGCUGGCCGUGUUCCAGGACUGGCUGGUCUGGACCGACCCCCCCCGGGGGUCCCUGGUGGCCGCGCGGCUCCGGGGGGGCUCCUCCCCGUCCCCCCCCCGGCUGCUGGCCCAGGAGCUCUUCAGCCCCGAGGCCGUGCUGCUGCUGCACCCCGACAGGCAGCCCCCAGGCCGGGACCGCUGCCGGGGCUCGCUCUGCUCCUUCCUCUGCCUCCCCUCCCCCGCCCGCGGCCCCGGCUCCGCCCCCUUCACCUGCGCCUGCCCGGACGGGGAGCACCUGGCGGGAGACGGACGCACCUGCGGGACAGGUGAGG
rnacentral:lncRNA from 1 species